GGCUGAAUAGUUCAGAGGUAGAAUUCUUGCUUUGGGUGUAAGAGGUCCUGGGGUAUGUAUCAAUCACAUCACAAAGCGUAAUCAACAUCCAUUCUAACAUCAAAUCAGUUCAAUUCCCAGUUCAGCCC
rnacentral:tRNA from 1 species